rnacentral:rRNA from 1 species
GACGAACGCUGGCGGCGUGCUUAACACAUGCAAGUCGAACGGAAAGGCCCCUUUGGGGGUACUCGAGUGGCGAACGGGUGAGUAACACGUGAGUAACCUGCCCUUGACUUCGGGAUAACUUCAGGAAACUGGGGCUAAUACCGGAUAGGAAUCCUUGCUGCAUGGUGGGGGUUGGAAAGCUUCGGCGGUUUUGGAUGGACUCGCGGCUUAUCAGCUUGUUGGUGGGGUAGUGGCUUACCAAGGCUUUGACGGGUAGCCGGCCUGAGAGGGCGACCGGCCACAUUGGGACUGAGAUACGGCCCAGACUCCUACGGGAGGCAGCAGUGGGGAAUAUUGAACAAUGGGCGGAAGCCUGAUGCAGCAACGCCGCGUGCGGGAUGAGGGCCUUCGGGUUGUAAACCGCUUUCAGCAGGGGCGAAGCUUGUGGUGACGGUACCUGCAGAAGAAGCACCGGCUAACUACGUG